ACAGGUGUCCAUAGGACUUAAUAGGGAAUUCGGUGCAUUUCUUGAUAAGCCGGAGCGGUCCCGCCACUGUAGGGUGGAGUCCUGCACAGAUAUGUCACUGGGGUAGAUAUGCGUACCUUGGGAAGGCGUGCAGAGCGAUGAAACCAAGCCAGGAGAACUGCCUGUUCC
rnacentral:ncRNA from 1 species